rnacentral:rRNA from 2 species
GCAGUGUACCCGCGGCAAGACGGAAAGACCCCGUGAACCUUUACUAUAGCUUGACACUGAACAUUGAGCCUUGAUGUGUAGGAUAGGUGGGAGGCUUUGAAGUGUGGACGCCAGUCUGCAUGGAGCCGACCUUGAAAUACCACCCUUUAAUGUUUGAUGUUCUAACGUGGACCCGUGAUCCGGGUUGCGGACAGUGUCUGGUGGGUAGUUUGACUGGGGCGGUCUCCUCCUAAAGAGUAACGGAGGAGCACGAAGGUUGGCUAAUCCUGGUCGGACAUCAGGAGGUUAGUGCAAUGGCAUAAGCCAGCUUGACUGCGAGCGUGACGGCGCGAGCAGGUGCGAAAGCAGGUCAUAGUGAUCCGGUGGUUCUGAAUGGAAGGGCCAUCGCUCAACGGAUAAAAGGUACUCCGGGGAUAACAGGCUGAUACCGCCCAAGAGUUCAUAUCGACGGCGGUGUUUGGCACCUCGAUGUCGGCUCAUCACAUCCUGGGGCUGAAGUAGGUCCCAAGGGUAUGGCUGUUCGCCAUUUAAAGUGGUACGCGAGCUGGGUUUAGAACGUCGUGAGACAGUUCGGUCCCUAUCUGCCGUGGGCGCUGGAGAACUGAGGGGGGCUGCUCCUAGUACGAGAGGACCGGAGUGGACGCAUCACUGGUGUUCGGGUUGUCAUGCCAAUGGCACUGCCCGGUAGCUAAAUGCGGAAGAGAUAAGUGCUGAAAGCAUCUAAGCACGAAACUUGCCCCGAGAUGAGUUCUCCCUGAGACUUAGAGUCUCCUGAAGGAACGUUGAAGACGACGACGUUGAUAGGCCGGGUGUGUAAGCGCAGCGAUGCGUUGAGCUAACCGGUACUAAUGAACCGUGAGGCUUAACCUUACAACGCCGAAG